GCCUGCGGGGCUGUGGGCGGGGCGGGCGGGGAGCUCAGGACUGGGCGGGGUGGGGGCAGCGGCUGAGACCAUCGAGCGUGGGGAGCACUCUCCUCCCUCUCCCCGGAGCGUGCACGGAGGAGGUGCCGGGAGCGUCACGUGGAUGGGAGCCCGGUGGGAGAGCUACCCCUUCGGACUGUAGUGACUCACUUUGUUUUGGAGGAGGAAGUGUCCCCGCGCCGCCCCGGGCUCUUUUCGGAAACAGAGCGGAGGAACUGGCCGCACGUGCCUGUGACCACGCUGUCCGCGCAGCACCAGAGGGGGCAACGCCAGCCAUCCAGGUCAAGGCAGCGCUCCAGCGGAAACGCGUGACCCUGACCGGCAGGGCCCUUCCUCUGUCUUCCCCAGCCCAAACGGAAAGAGGAAUGUCAGAGCCAGAGCAAUUUCACAAGGUACAGAGUCUAUGGGCAGGUCCUCCCGUGAUGAUGGAAAAGUUCUGCACAUGUGUCUCCAGUACACACCUGCUGAAUGCAGCCAGUAAGACUAAGGAACUAAACUUUAUAUUUGAUUUAAUGCUGCUGACCCAUCCUGCUCCAUCUUACAGGAAUGCCUUAUUUCUCAAGACUCUCCUACAUUUGAAUGAAUGAAUGAAAGAAUGAACAAACGUUACUAUUAAACCCUGAACACAACUGACACAGAGCAAUGAAAAUAUUUAUGCUGACAAUAGAAAGCACUUAAUUUCACUAUUUCAGGUCAUUAAAAAUACCCUUGUACAAUA
ensembl:lncRNA